rnacentral:rRNA from 1 species
UACGUAGGGGGCAAGCGUUGUCCGGAUUCAUUGGGCGUAAAGAGCGUGUAGGCGGCCAGGUAGGUCGGUUGUGAAAACUGGAGGCUCAACCUUCAGAGGUCGACCGAAACCAUCUGGCUAGAGUCCGGGAGAGGAGAGUGGAAUUCCUGGUGUAGCGGUGAAAUGCGCAGAUAUCAGGAAGAACACCCGUGGCGAAGGCGGCUCUCUGGGACGGUACUGACGCUGAGACGCGAAAGCGUGGGUAGCAAACAGG